rnacentral:rRNA from 1 species
UACGUAGGCAGCAAGCGUUGUUCGGAGUUACUGGGCGUAAAGGGUGUGUAGGCGGCCCCCUAAGUUUGGUGUGAAAUCUCCCGGCUUAACCGGGAGGGUGCGCCGAAGACUGGAGGGCUAGAGUGCGGGAUGGGAGAGUGGAAUUCCUGGUGUAGCGGUGAAAUGCGUAGAUAUCAGGAGGAACACCUGUGGUGUAGACGGCUCUCUGGACCGCAACUGACGCUGAGACACGAAAGCUAGGGGAGCAAACAGG